rnacentral:rRNA from 1 species
AGCGGGAGAUAAGUUCCGUUGCCGAGAGGAAAGAGCCCAGAUCGUCGGCUAAGGUCCCAAAGUCUGAGCUAAGUGUGAAAGGAUGUGGAAACGCACUGACAACCAGGAGGUUGGCUUAGAAGCAGCCAUCCUUUAAAGAAAGCGUAAUAGCUCACUGGUCAAGCGAGUCUGCGCCGAAAAUACAACGGGGCUAAAGCUCAGCACCGAAGCUGCGGGCUUCUGAAAAGAAGCGGUAGGGGAGCAUUCUCACGGAGAUACACGCCAGACGGAAACGACUGGUAGCGGCUGUGAGAAGAGCUUAUGCAGGCAUGAGUAGCGAUAAACCGAGUGAGAAACUUCGGUCGCCGUAAGCCCAAGGUUUCCUGGGGAAGGAUAAUCCUCCCAUGGGUUAGUCGGUACCUAAGCCGAGGCCGUAAGGCGUAGGUGAU